GCGGGGUGCUCGUGCUUACCAUGCAGUCGAACGCUGAAGCCGACAGCUUGCUGUUGGUGGAUGAGUGGCGAACGGGUGAGUAACACGUGAGUAACCUGCCCCUGAUUUCGGGAUAAGCCUGGGAAACUGGGUCUAAUACCGGAUACGACCUCUCGUCGCAUGAUGGUUGGUGGAAAGUUUUUCGAUCGGGGAUGGGCUCGCGGCCUAUCAGCUUGUUGGUGGGGUAAUGGCCUACCAAGGCGACGACGGGUAGCCGGCCUGAGAGGGCGACCGGCCACACUGGGACUGAGACACGGCCCAGACUCCUACGGGAGGCAGCAGUGGGGAAUAUUGCACAAUGGGGGAAACCCUGAUGCAGCGACGCAGCGUGCGGGAUGACGGCCUUCGGGUUGUAAACCGCUUUCAGCAGGGAAGAAGCGAAAGUGACGGUACCUGCAGAAGAAGUACCGGCUAACUACGUGCCAGCAGCCGCGGUAAUACGUAGGGUACGAGCGUUGUCCGGAAUUAUUGGGCGUAAAGAGCUCGUAGGUGGUUGGUCACGUCUGCUGUGGAAACGCAACGCUUAACGUUGCGCGUGCAGUGGGUACGGGCUGACUAGAGUGCAGUAGGGGAGUCUGGAAUUCCUGGUGUAGCGGUGAAAUGCGCAGAUAUCAGGAGGAACACCGGUGGCGAAGGCGGGACUCUGGGCUGUAACUGACACUGAGGAGCGAAAGCAUGGGGAGCGAACAGGAUUAGAUACCCUGGUAGUCCAUGCCGUAAACGUUGGGCACUAGGUGUGGGGGACAUUCCACGUUCUCCGCGCCGUAGCUAACGCAUUAAGUGCCCCGCCUGGGGAGUACGGUCGCAAGGCUAAAACUCAAAGGAAUUGACGGGGGCCCGCACAAGCGGCGGAGCAUGCGGAUUAAUUCGAUGCAACGCGAAGAACCUUACCAAGGCUUGACAUACACUGGACCGUUCUGGAAACAGUUCUUCUCUUUGGAGCUGGUGUACAGGUGGUGCAUGGUUGUCGUCAGCUCGUGUCGUGAGAUGUUGGGUUAAGUCCCGCAACGAGCGCAACCCUCGUUCUAUGUUGCCAGCACGUGAUGGUGGGAACUCAUAGGAGACUGCCG
rnacentral:rRNA from 1 species